rnacentral:rRNA from 1 species
UAUGUGAUCGUCUCUCGCAUAUCAAUAAGCGGAGGAAAAGAAACUAACAAGGAUUCCCCUAGUAACGGCGAGUGAAGCGGGAAGAGCUCAAAUUUGAAAUCUUAAAGGGUUUCCCUUUACGAAUUGUAGUUUAAAGAAGUGUUUUCUGUUGAGGUUUUGGUAAAAGUUCUUUGGAAUAGGACAUCAUAGAGGGUGAGAAUCCCGUAUUUGACCUUUACUUUCAACUUUGUGAUACACUUUCAAAGAGUCGGAUUGUUUGGGAAUGCAGUCCAAAAUGGGUGGUAAAUUUCAUCUAAAGCUAAAUAUUGGCGAGAGACCGAUAGCGAACAAGUACCGUGAGGGAAAGAUGAAAAGAACUUUGAAAAGAGAGUUAAACAGUACGUGAAAUUGUCAAAAGGGAGGCGUUUGACACCAGUGUUGUUUUUCUGAAAAUCAAUUAAAGAACUGUUUAUGCUAAGCUGUUUAGACUUUAUCAGCUAACUGUUUAGUUUUGAGCUUUUCUUUAAUGCACUUUUCAGUUAACAAGUCAACAUCAAUUUCUUUUGCUGUAAAAAAGCUUGAGGAAGGUGGCUUGAGAUUCGUCUUAAGUGUUUAUAGCCUCUUGCCUAUGCAGUCGGAGAGAUUGAGGUCUGCAGCGUAGAUCCUUCGGGGCUAAAUGCAUUUGUGCUAAGUUAUAACAUUUUAUAGACAACUUGUUGACUAUGAUUUGUCUUGUAGCUUACUCGCUUAUGUUAUUUUACCUACGCUUAGGAUGUUGAUCUGUAGUGCGUGCGC